rnacentral:lncRNA from 10 species
CUCUGAUGGCUUCCACUCUGGACAGCAACAAUGACCCCAGUCACUCCCACCCCAAAGCCAGGGAAACAUCAUCUUGUCACCUCUGGAUUUCUCCUCACCCCCUUGGGUUAAAGCUGAGCAGACAGGGUGGCACUUCUGAAUUCAGAGGCUGCAAUGAGCUGAGAAAAACAAGCAUCUGUGGCCCCCUCCAGGACCCACCAAGUAGAGGGGAUGUUGCCCCGGGUGCUGCAGGAGAUGAGAAACAACACUGAGACUCAGCCGGGUUACGUAAAACAUCCAAAGCUAUGCAGCAGGCUGAUGGCCAGCUGAGACCUAAAUUUAGGCCUCACUGACUCCUACCUUGGGCAUGUAAGCACCAGUUGGAUCAGAUACACCAGGGAAACUGAGGCCCAGAAAGGGAUGUGAUCUGCCCGAUUGUGCAGAAUUCAGAGCCCAGCUGGAACCUGAAUGUCCUGACCCCCCAUCCAGUGCCCCCCUUCCUACUCUAUGCUGCCUCUCGGGUGACACACACAGCAGCAAGUGAGCCCUGCAGACAGAGACAUUCUAGAACCCAGGCCUGGGACCAGUGCUCAGGAGCCAUACUCUCAGCUAGAUUGCCUUCAGCCUGCCAGGAGGAGGAGCAGCCCAGUCCAGACUGAAAGCCUCCAAGGAGGAAGUUCUACCGGCUUCUCCAUGCCUCCAAACCCACUGUACCUUGUGCAUUCCAUCUGGAAUUUUCUUCUGUUGAAAGGAAGGUGCUGGGUGGGAGGAGGAGGGAGAGGAUCAGGAAAAAUAACUAAUAAAUACUAGGCUUAAUAUCUGACACAAGUUUACGUAUAUAACAAACCUGCACAUGUACCCCUGAACUUAAAAGAAAAGUUAAACAAAAAAUAAAGGUGC